rnacentral:rRNA from 1 species
AUUGAACGCUGGCGGCAGGCCUAACACAUGCAAGUCGAGCGGAUGAAGGGAGCUUGCUCCUGGAUUCAGCGGCGGACGGGUGAGUAAUGCCUAGGAAUCUGCCUGGUAGUGGGGGAUAACGUCCGGAAACGGGCGCUAAUACCGCAUACGUCCUGAGGGAGAAAGUGGGGGAUCUUCGGACCUCACGCUAUCAGAUGAGCCUAGGUCGGAUUAGCUAGUUGGUGGGGUAAAGGCCUACCAAGGCGACGAUCCGUAACUGGUCUGAGAGGAUGAUCAGUCACACUGGAACUGAGACACGGGCCAGACUCCUACGGGAGGCAGCAGUGUGGAAUAUUGGACAAUGGGCGAAAGCCUGAUCCAGCCAUGCCGCGUGUGUGAAGAAGGUCUUCGGAUUGUAAAGCACUUUAAGUUGGGAGGAAGGGCAGUAAGUUAAUACCUUGCUGUUUUGACGUUACCAACAGAAUAAGCACCGGCUAACUUCGUG